CGAAGGCAAGCGGAUCUCUUAAAGCNGUUCUCAGUUCGGACUGCAGUCUGCAACUCGACUGCACGAAGCUGGAAUCGCUAGUAAUCGCGGAUCAGCACGCCGCGGUGAAUACGUUCCCGGGCCUUGUACACACCGCCCGUCACACCAUGGAAGUCUGCAAUGCCCGAAGCCGGUGGCCUAACCACUUAUGUGGAAGGAGCCGUCUAAGGCAGGGCAGAUGACUGGGGUGAAGUCGUAACAAGGUACC
rnacentral:rRNA from 1 species